rnacentral:rRNA from 1 species
GACAAACGCUGGCGGCGUGCCUAACACAUGCAAGUCGAACGGAGUUAAGUUUUCGGAUUUAACUUAGUGGCGAACGGGUGAGUAACGCGUGAGGAACCUGCCUUUCAGUGGGGGACAACAGUUGGAAACGACUGCUAAUACCGCAUAAUGUUAUUUGGGGGCAUCCCCGAAUAACCAAAGAUUUAUUGCUGAAAGAUGGCCUCGCGUCUGAUUAGCUAGUUGGUGAGGUAACGGCCCACCAAGGCGACGAUCAGUAGCCGGUCUGAGAGGAUGAACGGCCACAUUGGGACUGAGAUACGGCCCAGACUCCUACGGGAGGCAGCAGUGGGGAAUAUUGGGCAAUGGGGCGAAAGCCUGACCCAGCAACGCCGCGUGAAGGAAGAAGGCCUUCGGAUUGUAAACUGUUGUCGCAGGGAAGAAGACAGUGACGGUACCUUGUGAGAAAGUCACGGCUAACUACGUG